UACGUAGGGACCAAGCGUUGUUCGGAUUUACUGGGCGUAAAGGGCGCGUAGGCGGCAAUUCAAGUCAUCUGUGAAAUCUCCGAGCUUAACUCGGAACGGUCAGAUGAUACUGUUUUGCUAGAGUACAGAAGGGGCAAUCGGAAUUCUUGGUGUAGCGGUGAAAUGCGUAGAUAUCAAGAGGAACACCUGAGGUGAAGACGGGUUGCUGGGCUGAUACUGACGCUGAGGCGCGAAAGCUAGGGUAGCAAACGGGAUUAGAUACCGUCGUGUCA
rnacentral:rRNA from 1 species